rnacentral:rRNA from 1 species
CACGUAGGGUGCGAGCGUUGUCCGGAAUUAUUGGGCGUAAAGAGCUCGUAGGCGGUGUGUCGCGUCGGCCGUGAAAACCUGCAGCUUAACUGUGGGCUUGCGGUCGAUACGGGCAUCACUGGAGUUCGGCAGGGGAGACUGGAAUUCCUGGUGUAGCGGUGAAAUGCGUAGAUAUCGGGAGGAACACCAGUGGCGAAGGCGACUACCUGGCCUGUUCUUGACGCUGAGGCGCGAAAGCUAGGGGAGCAAACAGG